UAAGGGUGAUUUGAUGUUUCAUCAGACUGGACUGACCCACUCUCUUAACGGAGGUAGUGAUCAGCCGAGUAAGGCUGGGACAUGUGGUCUGGCUGAUUGCUUAUUUACAAUUAACAAGCAUGGAAGUGGUCUUUGUGAGUGUGAUGACCUUGAUAGGGCAGAGAAAGGGGAGAAGUGAUCAACAGACAGCGAGCAGGAGCCAGACGGAGAAAGUGAACAUGAGUCCACUGAGGAAGCCAACACAAGAAACAACUGGUAACAUCCCAACUGAAGUCAGUGAUUGGGGACUGCAAAUACAGGGCCACGGCAGCGUUCCUCAAGGUGGAUAGGAUGACCAGCCUCUUGCCCCACAGCUGCAGUCCAUUGUGUACGGUAAGUACUGCUCUGUCCACCCAGUACUGUUUCAGCAUCCCCUGCAGUCUGUUUUUGUCUGGUCACCCAUUUCUGCAGUACAGUACUCCAUCAAUGCAGCACAUGCACUGUCCGCUUUCAGAUGGUUUUGGAGAUUGCUCAGAUAGUCUACACUAACAGAUGGAAUGAUGAUUACAGAGUCCACAUAGAUGAUGGUUUCCUCUAGCAGACUACCACCUGUGGGUGCUCCUGAAGCUCUGAGGGGAGUGUUAGAAAAUAUUUUUGUGGGGGUGCAGUGAGUCUAGCCACAAUAAUGUGCAAAAGUCUGCUCAAACUAGUUCUAACCGCUUUUUAAGCUUCAGCUCCUUAUUCCCUCCGUCCUGCAUGUCUCCGCUGAAGGACAACUCCUGAGAUAAACAUUGACGGUCAGAACUUGUGCUCAAAAUCAAGGCCUUUUUCCUCUGCUCAGUAACUUUCCAUCUCCAAAUAUGGUGUUGUUCCUGUUUUCUAUGCAAAGUUAAUAAAAGCCUAUUGUACAUUGUGGGGCGGUGGGCGGUUGGACGAAGACAGGCUGUUAACCUGUUCUCUCUUCUCCACCGCCUCCCUUUUGCAAAAGAUUGUUUUGAAGUUGAACUGGACUGGUUCGUGUUUUUAUUCAUCUUGAAGAGAGUCUUACAUUUUUAUUCCUGACAGGGAGCAAGGGUCAAGGUGUCUGCUGUCCAUAUGUUUUUGCCAGGGACAUGUGUGACUGUGUAGUUGUAGUGCAUGUAGGGCUGUAACAAGCAUCUGGGUGCUUGGAUACUCGUGAUCUGCUCCCGGAAAUUUGAGCAUGAAUAUUUGCGACGUCCAAGAUCGCUGAUUUGCGAUCUUCAUAAAUAUAGUAGAGUGUAGUAAAAAAAAAAAUCUUAAGGCAUUGUAUUUUUGCUCUGAAAUCCAGUAUAAUGUUGGAUUUUAGGUUUAUGAAUUUAAAAAAAAGAGCAGCGCACCGUCACCGGAAGUAAACACGUCUUUGUGUUGAGGAAGCUUGCGGUUUUCAAAGUAAGACUAGCAAUAGCUUUUUUUUUGUUCAAAAUCUGAGACUGAAGUUCCACUCACUGACAUAAGUUCUGAAAAAAUGAAUUAGCUUUAACACCGGAGCUUUAGCUCCAGUGUUUAUAUUCUUUUGGUUAUGGUAACUCUUCAUGAGUUGACGCAAUUGCUGUAACUUAUGCAGAUUCUGAACCAAAAAAAACGCAACCUUGCGCUGAUAUUCUGCUCUGCGUCUGCCGCAGAAAAAAAUAAUUUUUUCUAUAUAUGGGGUCUGCACCAAUAUGUAAUGCUUAGGACGUAUAACGUUGAAGAACUUUGAGGAUGGAAAAAAUGAAGAACAUGUUCAGGUUUUGUAGUUAAAUGAUCAAAAACAAAAAUAUUUUUAUGAUUUUUAUGUUGUUUAUAUUUCUUCUGAACUUAACUGGAAGGUAGACAACAAAAUAAAAUAAAAAUAAUAAAAAAAAUUCAAAAUCUCAAGCACCAUUUCUUUCUAUUUAAAAUCUUUGUGCUUUUAUCAGUUUUGUUGACUCUGAUCUCCUGUUCUAAAUAAAGGUAUAAAUGAUGGUGAUUUAAUACAAAUCAUUUCAAUUUUCAUACAACCAGGAAAAAAGACAUACACAUAAAAACAAACAUGAUAUUGAAAAGUAAGAAUCGUGAAUCGAAUCGGAUCGCCACCUAAACAAUGAUCCACAGCCCUAAGUGCAUGAGCCUCAAUCUUUGAAUCCUGUUGGAAGGAUCCAGAGCUUUUUCUCCUAGCAUACUCACCAAAGGUUUGUGAUCCGUUUCCAACUCAAAUGAUCUGCCAAUGACAAUAAAGCAGCUGAACCUUUCAAACACUCAUGUUGCGGUCAGACCCUCUUUCUCUGGUGUCAUCAGUCUGAAGGCAAUGCCAGAGGUGCCCACACAGCAUUGCUUUCCUGGAGCAGAACUGCUCUCAGCUCAAAAGAAGAUGCAUCAGGCUGAUAUUUUCAGUUCACUGUGGACUAUGCAAUGAGAGCGCUGGUGUGGAUGAAAGCUCUUUUUCAGUUACUCAAAAGCUGUCUGCUGCUCUGGCUUCCAGUACCAGUGAUUCUUCUUUGACAGCAGAUCCCGAUGAUCCAGAUGUCUUUCUCUGUCAUGGACACCUUCUCCUCCUGUGGUAACACAGGUGCUUCUCGUGUUCUAAUUGAGCUCAUGUAUAUUUAAAGAUGUGUUCUUCUCUAGUUCAGUGUCUCAGCGACCUAGUUUGUUGGCUAUUGUACACGUUCCUCUGUUUGGAUUAAAACCCUGAACUAGACUCCUGGACUUCGUCGUUCUUCCUGCUCUUGGGUUAUCUUGUUUUGACUCCUGUCACAUUCUCUGCCAGACUUGGAAAGAACCGCCCCAACUCGUUCAUCAUACCCAGGAAACGUCUUAAUUCAGUGACAUUAAUUGCAGUACCUGCAGCUG